CCUACGAGCGGCAGCAGUGGGGAAUAUUGCACAAUGGGGGAAACCCUGAUGCAGCGACGCCGCGUGAGUGAAGCAGUAUUUCGGUGUGUACAGCUCUAUCCGCAGGGAAGAAACUGACGGUACCUGAGUAAGAAGCACCGGCUAACUACGGGCCAGCAGCCGAGGUAAUACGUAGGGGGUAAGCGUUAUCCGGAUUUAAUGGGUGUAAAGGGAGCGUAGACGGCAGUACAAGUCUGGAGUGAAAUGCCGGGGCUUAACCCCGGAACUGCUUUGGAAACUGUGCAGCUAGAGUGCAGGAGAGGUAAGUGGAAUUCCUAGUGUAGCGGUGAAAUGCGUAGAUAGUAGGAGGAACACCAGUGGCGAAGGCGGCUUACUGGACUGUAACUGACGUUGAGGCUCGAAAGCGUGGGGAGCAAACAGGAUUAGAUACCCCUGUAGUC
rnacentral:rRNA from 1 species